UACAGGGGGUGCAAACGUUGCUCGGAACCAUUGGGCGUAAAGCGCGCGUAGGCGGUUACUUAAGUCGGAUGUGAAAGCCCUCGGCUCAACUGAGGAAGUGCAUCCGAAACUGAGUAGCUUGAGUACGAAAGAGGGUCGCGGAAUUCCCGGUGUAGAGGUGAAAUUCGUAGAUAUCGGGAGGAACACCGGUGGCGAAGGCGGCGACCUGGGUCGAGACUGACGCUGAGGCGCGAAAGCGUGGGGAGCAAACAGG
rnacentral:rRNA from 1 species